AGUGAACGCUGGCGGUAGGCCUAACACAUGCAAGUCGAACGGCAGCACAGUAAGAGCUUGCUCUUACGGGUGGCGAGUGGCGGACGGGUGAGGAAUAUAUCGGAAUCUACUUUUUCGUGGGGGAUAACGUAGGGAAACUUACGCUAAUACCGCAUACGACCUACGGGUGAAAGCAGGGGAUCUUCGGACCUUGCGCGAUUGAAUGAGCCGAUGUCGGAUUAGCUAGUUGGCGGGGUAAAGGCCCACCAAGGCGACGAUCCGUAGCUGGUCUGAGAGGAUGGUCAGCCACACUGGAACUGAGCCACGCACCAUACUCCUGCGGGAGGCAGCAGUGGGGUAUAUUGGACAAUGGGCGCAAGCCUGAUCCAGCCAUACCGCGUGGGUGACGAAGGCCUUCGGUUUGUAAAGCCCUUUUGUUGGGAAAGAAAAGCAUCAGGUUGAUACCCCGCUGUUCUGACGGUACCCAAUGAAUAAGCACCGGCUAACUUCGUG
rnacentral:rRNA from 1 species